CAUGCUCAUUUUUUAGAUACACCUCUCAAAUAGUUUCAUAAACUUCCAAUGUGGAAUAGUAUAUUUUAUAGAUGCACAUGCACUUCUCUCCAAUGAUUACAUGAACUUUCAAUGUGGGGUAGUGGCAUAACAAAAAUGUUAAACAAAUUAUAGGAUAAUGAAUCUAAUUAAAAAAUUAUUAAUAUGAAAACUAAAAAAAAAAUUUAUUGUUUUCAUAGUAUUUUAUUAUUUUUGUGUACAUUUAUUGCAUCUGAUUCGAUCCCGGGUUGAUUUUCAAAACAUUGGUAUAUACUCUGAAUUGAUGUUCUUACUCUUUCUUAUAAAGCAUUUCUUUUGCAGAAAGAGCAGUGGUUUCUCAAGGGAUCUCCAAAUACCGCCCCCCUCUCCAAGUAUGCUUUUGUACAUUCAUUUUUCUUUUAUAUGCGAAUGACAGCUGUACAAGGCAUGACUGUAGGUUAGUUACCAUCCAUAUGCCCCUUUAUCCGGAAAUACUGGUUUUAGUUUCUUGAUAUGUUAGUUAUCAUCCAUAUGUCCCCUUAUCCAGGUGUGCUUUUGUACAUUCAUUAUCCUUUUAUAUGCGAAUUAUAAGGCAUAGAUGUAGGUUACUUAUCAUCCAUACAUCCCCUUAUCUAGAAAUGUUGAUUUUUUUUUUUUUACUUAAAAUCAAGAAUAAAUUAAGUUAUCCAAUGGUGUUUGGACAGAAAUUAGUUAAAACUAAGUUUACUAUUUUUAGGCUUAGUCAAACUUUUUUCAUCUUCAACUCUUUGUGUGCAUUGCUAACUUGAACUCAAAGACUUAAUAUAUGGCAACUGUAAUUUGAUUUCGUGUGCAUUUGGGAAUUUUGGUCGAAGCACUUCUUUCGUUUUUAUUUUGCUUAUAUGCCGUCGACCCCAGCAAGCCCUAUUCAAUUGCCUUUUUGCGAGAUUGCGUUCAUGACAACUGGAAAAUGAUUGCAUUGAUUUUCUCAGCCGCUGUCAGGUUUAAAACUUCUUUAGGGCUAUGGAUGGGUUGCUGCACGUUCGUAUGUGGGUAGAGAAAUUUUUUGUCUUUAGUAAGAUAUCAAAUAGAAUCACUUAUAGUGGAUUAUAUACUAUACUGAACCGGAAGCAUACCACUACUAGAACUCAAAAUUUGUAACACUGUUUUAGAGCAAAAUAGGGGCUUUGCUGUUGAAAUUAGAGAUGUUACGUUUCUAAAUUGUAUGAACCAUUACAAUUUCUUAUCCAAAAGAUGCAAUUUGAUGCAGCCAAACAUGUUGAGAAAAAAGACACCGAACCAAAUUCAUUUCCAAAAACCAGCAGAGGAAAGCCUGCAAAAUGGUUUUGUUACCAGUUGGAAUAAAUAGCCUAAGCAACAUUUCUUCCAAUUUAAGCGGGGGUGGAAGAAACCAUUCAUCAACAGGCUGGCUGCUUCUCUGUACUUUGACACAAUUAAAUCAACGUGAACCGAGUCUUAUUUUGAAUCUUCUUAUUUACCAUACUAUGCUUUGGAGUUGGUUCUUUGCAUAUAAGUUAGAAUAUUGAUCUUGUCUUUGGGGUAUAGUAUCUUCAAUUUCUUCCCAAGUUUGUCAAUUCUGUUACUUCUAAUUGUUUUUUUUUUUUUUUUUUUCUUUCUCUCAUUGUUACUGACAUUUCUUUUACUUUUUUAAUUCCAAUUCUG
rnacentral:lncRNA from 1 species